CACGUAGGCGGCUUUCUAAGUCAGAGGUGAAAUCCCGGGGCUCAACCCCGGAACUGCCUUUGAUACUGGAGAGCUUGAGUUCGGGAGAGGUGAGUGGAACUGCGAGUGUAGAGGUGAAAUUCGUAGAUAUUCGCAAGAACACCAGUGGCGAAGGCGGCUCACUGGCCCGAUACUGACGCUGAGGUGCGAAAGCGUGGGGAAGCAAACA
rnacentral:rRNA from 1 species